rnacentral:rRNA from 1 species
UUUGACUCAACGCGGGAAAUCUUACCGGGUCCGGACACACUGAGGAUUGACAGGCAAUAUCUCAUGGUUAUUAACCGGUUAUUUGUUUAAUCGGUUAUUAAGCAUCGAGUGUUAAAUAUGCUAGUCCUUUCAUGAUUAUGUGAUAGGUGGUGCAUGGCCGUUCUUAGUUCGUGGAGUGAUCUGUCUGCUUAAUUGCGUUUCACUAAGGGCCCAUAAAUUCAAGGUAUGUUAGCUAUCGUCGCUCUAUGGACCCCUUAUACUCGAUUUCGCUUUAAUUAGCGUUAUUUGUUUAAUAAGCGCGCGUCUUUAUUUAAUGAGUUUAAGACACUGCGCAUGCUGUUGGGCUCUGAAAGCAACGAACGUGACCGCAACGUCUUGUUGCCUUAAUAAAGUUGGCUUUUAAUACAAUUCCUCGAAUUCGUAUUUAAACCGCUUACAGAGGCUAUUUAAAACUAGACGGACCGCUGUUUCUUUUCUUAAACCAGAGGAAGGUUGCGGCAAUAACAGGU